CUGUAUUUGAGACAUUUACUUUUCAUGUUCAAUCUGUAAGGAUCCUGCAACAUAUGUAGGCUGGUGUCUUUGGUUUUAUCAUUCAACAUUCCUUCUUCUGAUACCAGUGUAAGCAGAUGGUCAAUAUAAAAAUGUGCAUUGAUAAAUUUUAGGGUAUUUUUGGGUGAAGGUAUUGUCUAUUACAGCUUCCCUACAAGAAGAAUUUGAUAAUCCAUUUUCUUUUAAGUUUUAACAAUGCAUUUAAUAUGGGUACGUUUUAGCAUCCAUAUAACGUAUGGGGUUAUAAAACAGUCCAAAGUAUAUUAUUUUUAAAGGGAAUGAAAUACAAAAAAACAUAUACAUAAAAAUUAUUAAAGUUGAUAUAAACAUAAAAUAAAAUAAGAAAAAGGGAGAUUGGAGCUUCCUGAGCUCCACACAAGAAAUCUUUUUGCAAGAGCUGUUGUCAUUCUACCCAUUCUUAUAUAAUUCUUAUGUUCAUUGAUUCUGUCUUUGAGAUUACAUUUGGUUAUGCCUAUGUAUUCUUCAGCCUUGCAAAGAUCAUUAUUCUAGAUUGGAAAAGCAUAUAUCCUUUAUCUAAGGACCUGACUAUACUUAUCUUUUUUGUUUCUUAAGAUCCUGAAUAUUGUGUGGUUAUGUCUGUAUGCUAACUCCUAACCACCCUUCUUAGCAAUAUUUUUUAUACCAUUUAAUCUUGCUAGAGAGUAUGGAAUUGGCAAUCUAGUAUUUACUUUAUUUGCCUGCUAUUUUAUACAUUCUGGCCAAUAGAAUCCUCUAUUGUUUAGUUUGUGAUUCUUUGCUAAUUUUUGUUUGUUGAUGAGAGUUAUUUUAUGUAACUGAAAAUGUCUCAAUAAAUGUGUUUGUUGUUUUCCUAUUGCUGUCAUCGUAUUUUUUACGGAACAUACAAUUUAUAGCAUUCAUAGUUUAUCUUAUUGGGAUUUUAUAUUUUUAUGCAUAAGUGAGCAAGAUUUAACUAGAUAUUAGCAAGAUAAUAACUAGAAAUAAUAAUAUGCCAUGUAUACUCUCACAUUUAUUUUAUUCAAAUUUACAUUUGAACAAACAAAAUAUAAAAAUUUAAAAUUUGUUUCAAAAAAUAAUUUGAAAAUAUAAAUUAUUUUUUUGAAAUAAAUCGAUUUCCUUUUAUAGAAAUAAUUUUUGUAUAUAUUUUAAGUAUGGAAACAGUUUGAACAGCAAUGUAUUAUGCACAAUGUGAAAAUAUCAGUUACUCAUGUUUUCAAUUAUUUGUCUAUCUCUACACUUUAUACAUCUUCAUUAUAAGAAAUAAGAAUUAUUGGUUUUUUACUGUUCUGAUUUUGGAUUUGAUUCAUGGAACUAUUAAUUUUAUUCAAUUUAAAUAUUUUUGGAUGAUAAUUUUUGUUAACAGACAUCAACAAAAGUCAACAACACAAUGAUAACAGCACUGCCUGAUACUCAAUCGACAAACUCCAGU
rnacentral:lncRNA from 1 species